rnacentral:rRNA from 1 species
ACGCUGGCGGCAGGCCUAACACAUGCAAGUCGAGCGGUAGAGAGAAGCUUGCUUCUCUUGAGAGCGGCGGACGGGUGAGUAAUGCCUAGGAAUCUGCCUGGUAGUGGGGGAUAACGUUCGGAAACGGACGCUAAUACCGCAUACGUCCUACGGGAGAAAGCAGGGGACCUUCGGGCCUUGCGCUAUCAGAUGAGCCUAGGUCGGAUUAGCUAGUUGGUGAGGUAAUGGCUCACCAAGGCGACGAUCCGUAACUGGUCUGAGAGGAUGAUCAGUCACACUGGAACUGAGACACGGUCCAGACUCCUACGGGAGGCAGCAGUGGGGAAUAUUGGACAAUGGGCGAAAGCCUGAUCCAGCCAUGCCGCGUGUGUGAAGAAGGUCUUCGGAUUGUAAAGCACUUUAAGUUGGGAGGAAGGGCAGUUACCUAAUACGUGAUUGUUUUGACGUUACCGACAGAAUAAGCACCGGCUAACUCUGUGCCAGCAGCCGCGGUAAUACGGAGGGUGCAAGCGUUAAUCGGAAUUACUGGGCGUAAAGCGCGCGUAGGUGGUUUGUUAAGUUGGAUGUGAAAUCCCCGGGCUCAACCUGGGAACUGCAUUCAAAACUGACUGACUAGAGUAUGGUAGAGGGUGGUGGAAUUUCCUGUGUAGCGGUGAAAUGCGUAGAUAUAGGAAGGAACACCAGUGGCGAAGGCGACCACCUGGACUGAUACUGACACUGAGGUGCGAAAGCGUGGGGAGCAAAC